rnacentral:ribozyme from 1 species
GCCACUCGUUAAGACGACCUCCACGCGGUGAGUGGUGGGCAGCGGGGUUAAAUCCGUUGGCUGACGUCUUA